rnacentral:rRNA from 1 species
GUGAGGAAUUUUGCGCAAUGGGGGCAACCCUGACGCAGCGACGCCACGUGGAGGACGAAGUCUUUCGGGAUGUAAACUCCUGUCAGUGGGGACGAUAAUGACGGUACCCACAGAGGAAGCACCGGCUAACUCCGUGCCAGCAGCCGCGGUAAGACGGAGGGUGCAAGCGUUGUUCGGAAUUACUGGGCGUAAAGCGUAUGUAGGCGGCAAGUUAAGUUCAAUGUUAAAGCCCACGGCUCAACCGAGGAGAUGCAUUGAAUACUGGCUAGCUAGAGGGUGUUAGAGGAAGACGGAAUUCCCAGUGUAGCGGUGAAAUGCGUAGAUAUUGGGAGGAACAUCGGUAGCGAAAGCGGUCUUCUGGGACAUACCUGACGCUGAGGUACGAAAGCGUGGGGAGCAAACGGGAUUAGAUACCCGGGUAGUCC